UUGUGAAUGAGGGCCGGAGGAUCUGUAACAGAGCAUGCUGUGAAGGAAUUUGAAGAGGUAAGAUAGUAAAGGCCUUGUGAUUCAUGUCCUGUGCCAAUCGUCUGUCCCGUACUGCGGUCCUGCAUGAGAAAAAAAUCAUCAAAAAAGGUUAUGCCACAAUGUAGGGCACGUGUCAAACGACUAACAGAUGCCAAAUUAAAAGGAGAACCAGGAACAUAAAGAACAGAGUCUAGAGUAACAGAAGAUAGGGGUGUGGCUUUUCCAACCCCUUUUGGUUUUGUUUGUAUCAUAUUGGCCAAAGUAAUAGCAGGAAGAGAUUGUGAAUAAACA
rnacentral:lncRNA from 1 species